UGUGCGAGCUGGCUUGCCUGCGAUACAGGCGCUGCGGUGCAUCAGGCAUACCGCGGUGAUGCAAUCGCAGGCAAGCCAGCUCCCACA
rnacentral:misc_RNA from 1 species